rnacentral:misc_RNA from 1 species
GAUGAAGAACGCAGCGAAGUGCGAUAAGUAAUGUGAAUUGCAAAUUCUGUGAAUCAUCGAAUCUUUGAACGCAAAUUGCACUCUCUUCGGAGAGUAUGCCUGUUUGAGGGUCAGUAUUAAUAAAAAUCGGUGUGUUGCUCUUUUGUGAUGCUCCGGAGUUUGGGUCAUCUUAUAACAAUACCUUUCAGGUGUUUUUAAGAGGCUUAAAAUUGACAUCUUUUUUGCGCAUUUUUUGACGUACAUAAAUUUUUUUAUUCGUUUAUUCUAAUGCCAAAAUCUAUUAGAUGCGACCAUAUCGUGUGGUUUCGUGUCUAUAAAUUUUUUCAUGAUUUGACCUCAAAUCAGGUAGGAACACCCGCUGAACUUAAGCAUAUCAAUAAGCGGAGGA